GGGGAGUAUUGCGCAAUGGAGGAAACUCUGACGCAGCGACGCCGCGUGAAGGAUGAAGGCUUUCGGGUUGUAAACUUCUGUCUUCAGGGACGAGAAAGGACGGUACCUGAGGAGGAAGCCACGGCUAACUACGUGCCAGCAGCCGCGGUAAUACGUAGGUGGCGAGCGUUGUCCGGAAUUACUGGGUGUAAAGGGCGCGUAGGCGGGGAUGCAAGUUAGAUGUGAAAUACCGGGGCUCAACUCCGGGGCUGCAUCUAAAACUGUGUUUCUUGAGUGCUGGAGAGGGAAGCGGAAUUCCUAGUGUAGCGGUGAAAUGCGUAGAUAUUAGGAGGAACACCAGUGGCGAAGGCGGCUUCCUGGACAGCAACUGACGCUGAGGCGCGAAAGCACGGGUAGCAAAC
rnacentral:rRNA from 1 species